rnacentral:rRNA from 1 species
GUCUCAAGAAGUGUUUUCUGUGCCGGUCCAUGUAUGAGUCUGUUGGAACACAGCGUCAUAGAGGGUGACAACCCCGUUCAUGACAUGGAUCCCGGUGCUUUGUGAUACACUCUCGAAGAGUCGAGUUGUUUGGGAAUGCAGCUCAAAUUGGGUGGUAAAUUCCAUCUAAAGCUAAAUAUUGGCGAGAGACCGAUAGCAAACAAGUACCGUGAGGGAAAGAUGAAAAGCACUUUGGAAAGAGAGUUAACAGUACGUGAAAUUGUUGAAAGGGAAACGAUUGAAGUCAGACGUGCGUGAUGCGGUUCAGCUUUAGUUCGCUAGAGUGUACUCCGUAUCUUUGCAGGCCAGCAUCGGUUUUGUUAGUCGGAUAAAGGUUUGAGAAAU